GAUCCUGGCUCAGGAUGAACGCUAGCGACAGGCUUAACACAUGCAAGUCGAGGGGCAGCGAGGGAGUGGCAACACUUCUGUCGGCGACCGGCGCACGGGUGAGUAACGCGCAUGCAACCUGCCCUUNACAGGGGGAUAACCGGGAGAAAUUCCGACUAAUACCGCAUACGUCCUCCGGGGCAUCCCCGGGGAGUGAAAGAAUUAUCGUGAAGGAUGGGCAUGCGUGAUAUUAGGUAGUUGGCGGGG
rnacentral:rRNA from 1 species